rnacentral:rRNA from 1 species
AGCCCCUAGAUAUUAAUUUUUGGGGGAGGCUGCCCUAUGACUUAGUUAAAUGGCCGCGGUACUCUGACCGUGCUAAGGUAGCAUAAUCAAUUGGCUUUUAAAUGGAGUCUGGAAUGAAAGGAAAUACGGAGUAUAGCUGUCUCAUAAUCUUUAUUAUGAAUUUACUAAUUAGGUGAAAAGGCCUAAAAAAGAAAAAAGACGAGAAGACCCUUAGAGUUUACUUUUUGUUGGGGCGACACAGAGUCAAUUAGAACACUCUGAAUUUUAUGUGACGGAUUUAUCAUGUUUAAAUAAACUACCUGAGGGAUAACAGCAUAAUCUUUUUUAGGUUUGUGACCUCGAUGUUGGACUAGGAAGUCUACUAGCUAGCCGCUAGUAAGAGGGAUUCUGUUCGAAUUUUUACUCCU